UGACGUUGGGAAAGCGAGCGGCGGAUGGGUGAGUAACACGUGGGGAACCUGCCCCUAAGUCUGGGAUACCAUUUGGAAACAGGUGCUAAUACCGGAUAAUAAAGCAGAUCGCAUGAUCAGCUUUUGAAAGGCGGCGUAAGCUGUCGCUAAGGGAUGGCCCCGCGGUGCAUUAGCUAGUUGGUAAGGUAACGGCUUACCAAGGCGACGAUGCAUAGCCGAGUUGAGGGACUGAUCGGCCACAUUGGGACUGAGACACGGCCCAAACUCCUACGGGAGGCAGCAGUAGGGAAUCUUCCACAAUGGACGCGAGUCUGAUGGAGCAACGCCGCGUGAGUGAAGAAGGUUUUCGGAUCGUAAAGCUCUGUUGCUGGUGAAGAAGGAUAGAGGUAGUAACUGGCCUUUAUUUGACGGUAAUCAACCAGAAAGUCACGGCUAACUACGUGCCAGCAGCCGCGGUAAUACGUAGGUGGCAAGCGUUGUCCGGAUUUAUUGGGCGUAAAGCGAGCGCAGGCGGAAAAAUAAGUCUAAUGUGAAAGCCCUCGGCUUAACCGAGGAACUGCAUCGGAAACUGUUUUUCUUGAGUGCAGAAGAGGAGAGUGGAACUCCGUGUGUAGCGGUGGAAUGCGUAGAUAUAUGGAAGAACACCAGUGGCGAAGGCGGCUCUCUGGUCUGCAACUGACGCUGAGGCUCGAAAGCAUGGGUAGCGAACAGGAUUAGAUACCCUGGUAGUCCAUGCCGUAAACGAUGAGUGCUAAGUGUUGGGAGGUUUCCGCCUCUCAGUGCUGCAGCUAACGCAUUAAGCACUCCGCCUGGGGAGUACGACCGCAAGGUUGAAACUCAAGGAAUUGACGGGGGCCCGCACAAGCGGUGG
rnacentral:rRNA from 1 species